UACAGAGGAGCCAAGCGUUGUCCGGAUUGACUGGGCGUAAAGCGCACGCAGGCGGACGCGCGCGUGGGGUGUGAAAUCUGGCCGCUUAACGGCCAGGCGCCAUCCCAUACGGCGCGUCUGGAGCCUUGCAGAGGUCGGUGGAAUUCCAGGUGUAGCGGUGAAAUGCGUAGAUAUCUGGAGGAACACCGGUGGCGAAGGCGACAUCCUGGACCGGUAGUUGACGCUGAGGCGCGAAAGCCAGGGGAGCAAGCGGG
rnacentral:rRNA from 1 species